rnacentral:rRNA from 1 species
UUAAGCGACUAAGCGUACACGGUGGAUGCCCUGGCAGUCAGAGGCGAUGAAGGACGUGCUAAUCUGCGAUAAGCGUCGGUAAGGUGAUAUGAACCGUUAUAACCGGCGAUUUCCGAAUGGGGAAACCCAGUGUGUUUCGACACACUAUCAUUAACUGAAUCCAUAGGUUAAUGAGGCGAACCGGGGGAACUGAAACAUCUAAGUACCCCGAGGAAAAGAAAUCAACCGAGAUUCCCCCAGUAGCGGCGAGCGAACGGGGAGCAGCCCAGAGCCUGAAUCAGUGUGUGUGUUAGUGGAAGCGUCUGGAAAGGCGCGCGAUACAGGGUGACAGCCCCGUACACAAAAAUGCACAUGCUGUGAGCUCGAUGAGUAGGGCGGGACACGUGGUAUCCUGUCUGAAUAUGGGGGGACCAUCCUCCAAGGCUAAAUACUCCUGACUGACCGAUAGUGAACCAGUACCGUGAGGGAAAGGCGAAAAGAACCCCGGCGAGGGGAGUGAAAAAGAACCUGAAACCGUGUACGUACAAGCAGUGGGAGCACGCUUCGGCGUGUGACUGCGUACCUUUUGUAUAAUGGGUCAGCGACUUAUAUUCUGUAGCAAGGUUAACCGAAUAGGGGAGCCGAAGGGAAACCGAGUCUUAACUGGGCGUUAAGUUGCAGGGUAUAGACCCGAAACCCGGUGAUCUAGCCAUGGGCAGGUUGAAGGUUGGGUAACACUAACUGGAGGACCGAACCGACUAAUGUUGAAAAAUUAGCGGAUGACUUGUGGCUGGGGGUGAAAGGCCAAUCAAACCGGGAGAUAGCUGGUUCUCCCCGAAAGCUAUUUAGGUAGCGCCUCGUGAAUUCAUCUCCGGGGGUAGAGCACUGUUUCGGCAAGGGGGUCAUCCCGACUUACCAACCCGAUGCAAACUGCGAAUACCGGAGAAUGUUAUCACGGGAGACACACGGCGGGUGCUAACGUCCGUCGUGAAGAGGGAAACAACCCAGACCGCCAGCUAAGGUCCCAAAGUCAUGGUUAAGUGGGAAACGAUGUGGGAAGGCCCAGACAGCCAGGAUGUUGGCUUAGAAGCAGCCAUCAUUUAAAGAAAGCGUAAUAGCUCACUGGUCGAGUCGGCCUGCGCGGAAGAUGUAACGGGGCUAAACCAUGCACCGAAGCUGCGGCAGCGACGCUUAUGCGUUGUUGGGUAGGGGAGCGUUCUGUAAGCCUGUGAAGGUGUGCUGUGAGGCAUGCUGGAGGUAUCAGAAGUGCGAAUGCUGACAUAAGUAACGAUAAAGCGGGUGAAAAGCCCGCUCGCCGGAAGACCAAGGGUUCCUGUCCAACGUUAAUCGGGGCAGGGUGAGUCGACCCCUAAGGCGAGGCCGAAAGGCGUAGUCGAUGGGAAACAGGUUAAUAUUCCUGUACUUGGUGUUACUGCGAAGGGGGGACGGAGAAGGCUAUGUUGGCCGGGCGACGGUUGUCCCGGUUUAAGCGUGUAGGCUGGUUUUCCAGGCAAAUCCGGAAAAUCAAGGCUGAGGCGUGAUGACGAGGCACUACGGUGCUGAAGCAACAAAUGCCCUGCUUCCAGGAAAAGCCUCUAAGCAUCAGGUAACAUCAAAUCGUACCCCAAACCGACACAGGUGGUCAGGUAGAGAAUACCAAGGCGCUUGAGAGAACUCGGGUGAAGGAACUAGGCAAAAUGGUGCCGUAACUUCGGGAGAAGGCACGCUGAUAUGUAGGUGAAGUCCCUCGCGGAUGGAGCUGAAAUCAGUCGAAGAUACCAGCUGGCUGCAACUGUUUAUUAAAAACACAGCACUGUGCAAACACGAAAGUGGACGUAUACGGUGUGACGCCUGCCCGGUGCCGGAAGGUUAAUUGAUGGGGUUAGCGGUAACGCGAAGCUCUUGAUCGAAGCCCCGGUAAACGGCGGCCGUAACUAUAACGGUCCUAAGGUAGCGAAAUUCCUUGUCGGGUAAGUUCCGACCUGCACGAAUGGCGUAAUGAUGGCCAGGCUGUCUCCACCCGAGACUCAGUGAAAUUGAACUCGCUGUGAAGAUGCAGUGUACCCGCGGCAAGACGGAAAGACCCCGUGAACCUUUACUAUAGCUUGACACUGAACAUUGAGCCUUGAUGUGUAGGAUAGGUGGGAGGCUUUGAAGUGUGGACGCCAGUCUGCAUGGAGCCGACCUUGAAAUACCACCCUUUAAUGUUUGAUGUUCUAACGUUGACCCGUAAUCCGGGUUGCGGACAGUGUCUGGUGGGUAGUUUGACUGGGGCGGUCUCCUCCUAAAGAGUAACGGAGGAGCACGAAGGUUGGCUAAUCCUGGUCGGACAUCAGGAGGUUAGUGCAAUGGCAUAAGCCAGCUUGACUGCGAGCGUGACGGCGCGAGCAGGUGCGAAAGCAGGUCAUAGUGAUCCGGUGGUUCUGAAUGGAAGGGCCAUCGCUCAACGGAUAAAAGGUACUCCGGGGAUAACAGGCUGAUACCGCCCAAGAGUUCAUAUCGACGGCGGUGUUUGGCACCUCGAUGUCGGCUCAUCACAUCCUGGGGCUGAAGUAGGUCCCAAGGGUAUGGCUGUUCGCCAUUUAAAGUGGUACGCGAGCUGGGUUUAGAACGUCGUGAGACAGUUCGGUCCCUAUCUGCCGUGGGCGCUGGAGAACUGAGGGGGGCUGCUCCUAGUACGAGAGGACCGGAGUGGACGCAUCACUGGUGUUCGGGUUGUCAUGCCAAUGGCACUGCCCGGUAGCUAAAUGCGGAAGAGAUAAGUGCUGAAAGCAUCUAAGCACGAAACUUGCCCCGAGAUGAGUUCUCCCUGACUCCUUGAGAGUCCUGAAGGAACGUUGAAGACGACGACGUUGAUAGGCCGGGUGUGUAAGCGCAGCGAUGCGUUGAGCUAACCGGUACUAAUGAACCGUGAGGCUUAACCUU